CUACGGGACGCAGCAGUGGGGAAUAUUUCACCAUGGUGUACACCCUGAUGCAGCAACGCCGCGUGAGUGAAGAAGGUUUUCGGAUUGUAAAGCUCUGUUAGCAGGGAAGAGGAAGGACGGUACCUGCAGAGGAAGCCACGGCUAACUACGUGCCAGCAGCCGCGGUAAUACGUAGGUGGCAAGCGUUGUUCGGAAUAACUGGGCGUAAAGGAUGCGUAGGCGGUUAAACAAGCUAUAUGUUAAAUAUAUAGGCUUAACCUGUAGAAAGCAUAUAACACUGUUUAACUAGAGUGCAGGAGAGGUAA
rnacentral:rRNA from 1 species